UACAGAGGCCCCAAGCGUUACUGAGAAUCACUGGGUUUAAAGGGUGCGUAGGUGGUCCGUUAAGUUCGUUGUGAAAGCCCUGGGCUCAACCCAGGAACGGCUUCGAAUACUGGCGGACUUGAGGCUAGUAGGGGUCACUGGAACUGACGGUGGAGCGGUGAAAUGCGUAGAUAUCGUCAGGAACGCCAAUGGUGAAGACAGGUGACUGGGCUAGAUCUGACACUGAGGCACGAAAGCGUGGGGAGCGAAC
rnacentral:rRNA from 1 species